UGAGGAAUAUUGGACAAUGGGUUAGCGCCUGAUCCAGCCAUCCCGCGUGAAGGAUUAAGGACCUAUGGUUUGUAAACUUCUUUUAUACAGGGAUAAACCUACUCUCGUGAGAGUAGCUGAAGGUACUGUAUGAAUAAGCACCGGCUAACUCCGUGCCAGCAGCCGCGGUAAUACGGAGGGUGCAAGCGUUAUCCGGAUUUAUUGGGUUUAAAGGGUCCGUAGGCGGA
rnacentral:rRNA from 1 species